GUAGGGAAUAUUGGACAAUGGGCGAAAGCCUGAUCCAGCCAUGCCGCGUGAUAGAUGAAGGCCCUCUGGGUUGUAAAUAUCUUUUAUCUGGGAAGAAACUCCUCUAUUCUUAGAGGCCUGACGGUACCAGAGGAAUAAGCACCGGCUAACUCCGUGCCAGCAGCCGCGGUAAUACGGAGGGUGCAAGCGUUAUCCGGAUUCACUGGGUUUAAAGGGUGCGUAGGCGGGUUGAUAAGUCAGUGGUGAAAGCUCCGGGUUUAACUUGGAAACUGCCAUUGAUACUGUCAGUCUUGAAUGUCGUGGAGGUAAGCGGAAUGUUGCAUGUAGCGGUGAAAUGCUUAGAUAUGUUACAGAACACCAAGUGCGAAGGCAGCUUACUAUGCGAUAAUUGACGCUGAGGCACGAAAGCGUGGGGAGCAAACAGGAUUAGAUACCCGGGUAGUCC
rnacentral:rRNA from 1 species